GACGAACGCUGGCGGCGUGCUUAACACAUGCAAGUCGAACGGAAAGGCCCUGCUUUUGUUGGUUGCUCGAUUGGCGAACGGGUGAGUAACACGUGAGUAACCUGCCCUUGACUUUGUGAUAACUUCAGGAAACUGGGGCUAAUACCGGAUAGGAGCUCCUGCUGCAUGGUGUGGGUUGGAAAGUUUCGGCUGUUGGGGAUGGACUCGCGGCUUAUCAGCUUGUUGGUGAGGUAGUGGCUUACCAAGGCUUUGACGGGUAGCCGGCCUGAGAGGGUGACCGGGCACAUUGGGACUGCGGUAGGGCCCAGAAUGCUACGGGAGGCAGCAGUGGGGAAUAUUGCACAAUGGGCGGAAGCCUGAUGCAGAAACGUCGGGUGCGGGAUGACGGCCUUCGGGUUGUAAACAGCUUUCGACUGUGACGAAGCGGGAGUGACGGUAAUGGGUAAGGAAGCAACGGCUAACUACGUG
rnacentral:rRNA from 1 species